rnacentral:rRNA from 1 species
UACGAAGGGGGCUAGCGUUGUUCGGAAUUACUGGGCGUAAGGAGUUCGUAGGCGGUUUAUUAAGCUAGAUGUGAAAUCCCUGGGCUUAACUCAGGAACUGCAUUUAGAACUGGUAAGCUAGAGAGUGUUAGAGGUUGGUAGAAUUCCUAGUGUAGGGGUGAAAUCCGUAGAUAUUAGGAGGAAUACCGAUGGCGAAGGCAGCCAACUGGGACAUUUCUGACGCUGAGGAACGAAAGCGUGGGUAGCAAACAGG